AACGCGAAGAACCUUACCGAGGCUUGACAUCCCUUGAAAUCCGUAGAAAUACGGCUUCCGUAGCAAUACGGCAAGGAGACAGGUGCUGCAUGGCUGUCGUCAGCUCGUGCCGUGAGGUGUUGGGUUAAGUCCCGCAACGAGCGCAACCCUCGCCGUGUGUUGGUCCGCAAGGAUCUCUCACGCGGGACCGCCGGUGAGAAGCCGGAGGAAGGUGGGGAUGACGUCAAGUCAGCAUGGCCCUUACGUCUCGGGCUACACACGUGCUACAAUGGGUGCGACAACGAGUUCCAAGCUCGCGAGGGUAAGGCAAUCUCUUAAACGCAUCCUCAGUUCGGAUUGAAGGCUGCAACUCGCCUUCAUGAAGUCGGAAUCGCUAGUAAACGCAGAUCAGCUACGCUGCGUUGAAUACGUUCCCGGGCCUUGUA
rnacentral:rRNA from 2 species